GUGCUCACUUUAACAGCACAUAAACUAAAAUUGGAGUGGUACAGAGAUUAGCAUGGCCCCGGCAAAGGGAUGACACGCAAAUUCGUGAAACGUUUCAUAUUUUU
ensembl:snRNA U6 U6 spliceosomal RNA